rnacentral:lncRNA from 1 species
GCCAGUGCAAGCUCAGAAGCCCGCCUGGUCGGGAGCAGGGUCAAAGCCCGCGUGCUGGCUGCGUCUGUGGUGCAGGCCACGCAGAGCUUCCUAGAACAGGGCGAGUAGAUGGCUAAGGAAAGGCAGGGUCUCGAGGAGAAGGGCAGCCGACUCGGGCGAUGAAGACGCGGCAGGCACAGGCCCUGGGUGCCAGGUCCCCCAGGAGGAGGACUUCCGGUCCGUGGGAGCCCUGUGGUCUGCUCUCCGAGGCCCGGGCCCUGCUGCCCCACGGCGGCCAUCUUGGGCCCGGGCUUCUGUGCGACGACACCUUGUAAAUACCAGGCUCCUGCUCACCGCAGGCAGACGUGCAAAGGCGGAGCCCCACUCAUGGUGCAGAUUUUCACUGCACAGGCUUGGGAGAUAUGACAGAUUGCCACAUUGAUCCUAAGAAAAAGCACGCAUUCAUUUAUUAACAGGUCUUGCUGUGUUCCCCAGGCUGGUACAGACUCCAGGGCUCAAGCCAUUCUCCUGCCUCAGCCUCCUGAGAAUUGAAUUUAAGACCUCGAGCUUGCCAGGCAGGCGCAGCCACCACCGAGCUACAUUUGUUGCCCCAAUAAUGAUUGUUUCUACCAAAAAAAUGAAGUCCUGAAUGUAGAACUCAAGUUUGUCUAACAAUCAAGAGAAAAAUCCAUUUCCCAAUAUUGGUCGCUGUUUCCACAGAGUAAGAGUGAGCAGAAUGUCCCAAGUUCCCUUACACUUGUCAGAGUAAUGCUUUGGAAGGACUGGGACCCUUCCUGCUAAUCUCACUCCAAAACCCCAAGGACAGUGGCUCAGCCUAGUCACACCACACAUUACGUAGCACGCGGUGUGUGUCUGUCAUGCACACAACGGGAUGCGAGGAUUUGUGUUGCAUGAAAUGGCAGGCCAAUAACAAACAGCAUUUUAUUAUUUAAACAAUCUUGCAAUGUCAACAUCAAUGCUAAUAAAAAAUACAUGAUAAGGAAAUUCAUCCCUGGCA